rnacentral:rRNA from 1 species
UGGGGAAUCUUGGACAAUGGGCGCAAGCCUGAUCCAGCCAUGCCGCGUGGAUGAUGAAGGCCUUAGGGUUGUAAAAUCCUUUCGUUGGGGACGAUAAUGACGGUACCCAAAGAAGAAGCUCCGGCUAACUUCGUGCCAGCAGCCGCGGUAAUACGAAGGGGGCUAGCGUUGUUCGGAUUUACUGGGCGUAAAGCGCGUGUAGGCGGGUCGUUAAGUUGGGGGUGAAAUCCCGAGGCUCAACCUCGGAACUGCCUUCAAAACUGGCGACCUGGACCUAAGUAGAGGCAAGUGGAAUUGCGAGUGUAGAGGUGAAAUUCGUAGAUAUUCGCAGGAACACCAGUGGCGAAGGCGACUUGCUGGACUUGUGGUGACGCUGAGACGCGAAAGCGUGGGGAGCAAACAGGAUUAGAUACCCCCGUAGUCCCUGAGCGGGCUGGCAAGGCGCAU